rnacentral:rRNA from 1 species
UGCAGUCGAGGGGUAACAGAGGAGCUUGCUCCUGCUGACGACCGGCGCACGGGUGCGUAACGCGUAUACAAUCUGCCUUGCACUAAGGGAUAGCCCAGAGAAAUUUGGAUUAAUAUCUUAUGGUUUAUAAUUAUGGCAUCAUAUUUAUAAUAAAGGUUACGGUGUAAGAUGAGUAUGCGUCCCAUUAGUUUGUUGGUAAGGUAACGGCUUACCAAGACUACGAUGGGUAGGGGCCCUGAGAGGGGGAUCCCCCACACUGGUACUGAGACACGGACCAGACUCCUACGGGAGGCAGCAGUGAGGAAUAUUGGACAAUGGAGGAGACUCUGAUCCAGCCAUGCCGCGUGCAGGAAGACGGUCCUAUGGAUUGUAAACUGCUUUUAUACAGGAAGAAUAAGGACUACGUGUAGUCUGGUGACGGUACUGUAAGAAUAAGGACCGGCUAACUCCGUGCCAGCAGCCGCGGUAAUACGGAGGGUCCGAGCGUUAUCCGGAAUUAUUGGGUUUAAAGGGUCCGUAGGCGGGCUGUUAAGUCAGGGGUGAAAGUUUGCAGCUCAACUGUAGAAUUGCCUUUGAUACUGACGGUCUUGAAUUAUUGUGAAGUGGUUAGAAUAUGUAGUGUAGCGGUGAAAUGCAUAGAUAUUACAUAGAAUACCGAUUGCGAAGGCAGAUCACUAACAAUUGAUUGACGCUGAUGGACGAAAGCGUGGGUAGCGAACAGGAUUAGAUACCCUGGUAGUCCACGCCGUAAACGAUGGAUACUAGCUGUUUGGAUUUCGAUCUGAGCGGCCAAGCGAAAGUGAUAAGUAUCCCACCUGGGGAGUACGUUCGCAAGAAUGAAACUCAAAGGA